rnacentral:rRNA from 1 species
UUCCGGAUUGAUCCUGCCGGAGGUUACUGCUAUCGAGGUUCGACUAAGCCAUGCGAGUCGAAUGUAGCAAUACAUGGCGUACUGCUCAGUAACACGUGGACAACCUACCCUUAGGUCGGGGAUAAACCCGGGAAACUGGGUAUAAUACCCGAUAGAUCUCGGCUGCUGGAAUGCACCGAGCUCUAAAGCUCCGGCGCCUAAGGAUGGGUCUGCGGCCUAUCAGGUAGUAGUGGGUGUAGCGUACCUACUAGCCCACGACGGGUACGGGUUGUGAGAGCAAGAGCCCGGAGAUGGAUUCUGAGACACGAAUCCAGGCCCUACGGGGUGCAGCAGGCGCGAAAACUUUACAAUGCUGGAAACAGCGAUAAGGGGACCUCGAGUGCCAGGUUACAAAUCUGGCUGUCGUGAUGCCUAAAAAGC